GAUGAACGCUGGCGGCGUGCCUAAUACAUGCAAGUCGAGCGAACAGACGAGAAGCUUGCUUUUCUGAUGUUAGCGGCGGACGGGUGAGUAACACGUGGAUAACCUACCUAUAAGACUGGGAUAACUUCGGGAAACCGGAGCUAAUAUCGGAUAAUAUUUUGAACCGCAUGGUUCAAAAGUGAAAGACGGUCUUGCUGUCACUUAUAGAUGGAUCCGCGCUGCAUUAGCUAGUUGGUAAGGUAACGGCUUACCAAGGCAACGAUGCAUAGCCGACCUGAGAGGGUGAUCGGCCACACUGGAACUGAGACACGGUCCAGACUCCUACGGGAGGCAGCAGUAGGGAAUCUUCCGCAAUGGGCGAAAGCCUGACGGAGCAACGCCGCGUGAGUGAUGAAGGUCUUCGGAUCGUAAAACUCUGUUAUUAGGGAAGAACAUAUGUGUAGUAACUGUGCACAUCUUGACGGUACCUAAUCAGAAAGCCACGGCUAACUACGUG
rnacentral:rRNA from 1 species